UGGGGAAUAUUGGACAAUGGGCGAAAGCCUGAUCCAGCCAUGCCGCGUGUGUGAAGAAGGUCUUCGGAUUGUAAAGCACUUUAAGUUGGGAGGAAGGGUAUUAACCUAAUACGUUAGUGUUUUGACGUUACCGACAGAAUAAGCACCGGCUAACUCUGUGCCAGCAGCCGCGGUAAUACAGAGGGUGCAAGCGUUAAUCGGAAUUACUGGGCGUAAAGCGCGCGUAGGUGGUUUGUUAAGUUGGAUGUGAAAUCCCCGGGCUCAGCCUGGGAACUGCAUUCAAAACUGACUGACUAGAGUAUGGUAGAGGGUGGUGGAAUUUCCUGUGUAGCGGUGAAAUGCGUAGAUAUAGGAAGGAACACCAGUGGCGAAGGCGACCACCUGGACUAAUACUGACACUGAGGUGCGAAAGCGUGGGGAGCAAACA
rnacentral:rRNA from 1 species